UCCUUUUAGGACAAAGGGAGAAUCGCUGAUGCCGUCGUGCCAAGAAAAGCCUCUAAGCAUAUCCAUAGUCGUCCGUACCGCAAACCGACACAGGUAGAUGAGAUGAGUAUUCUAAGGCGCGUGAAAGAACUCUGGUUAAGGAACUCUGCAAACUAGCACCGUAAGUUCGCGAUAAGGUGUGCCGCAGCAAUGCGGUCUCAGCAAAGAGUCCCUCCCGACUGUUUACCAAAAACACAGCACUUUGCCAACUCGUAAGAGGAAGUAUAAGGUGUGACGCCUGCCCGGUGCUCGAAGGUUAAGAGGAUGCGUCAGUCGCAAGAUGAAGCGUUGAAUUGAAGCCCGAGUAAACGGCGGCCGUAACUAUAACGGUCCUAAGGUAGCGAAAUUCCUUGUCGGUUAAAUACCGACCUGCAUGAAUGGCGUAACGAGAUGGGAGCUGUCUCAACCAGAGAUUCAGUGAAAUUGUAGUGGAGGUGAAAAUUCCUCCUACCCGCGGCAAGACGGAGAGACCCCGUGGACCUUUACUACAACUUAGCACUGCUAAUGGGAAUAUCAUGCGCAGGAUAGGUGGGAGGCUUUGAAGUAAGGGCUU
rnacentral:rRNA from 1 species